rnacentral:lncRNA from 1 species
AUUCAUUUCCUGAGAACUGCAGAGUGCUGCUGAGAGGCUCUGCCCGUGCGUGUGCGAGUGUGCGUGUGAGUGUGCGCGGGUGACGCCGUGUGUGUGUGUGCGUGUGUGCGCGCGAGAGUGAGUGUGUGCGCGCGCGCGUGUGUGCGAGCGAGAGAAAGGGAGAGAGAGGGGGACUCUGUGUGAGGGAAAGAAAACAAUUUCUCCUGCUCUGCAGCUUCUGUUCAGGGCCGCAUCUGCAGCAUAUGGAAGAAUUUCUGAUUUAGAAUUUUUAUAGCAAUUGUGAGUAACUCGUCCAAGCAUACUCAGCUCACAAGCGAUGGGGUCAGGAUUCGGGACUUGUGACACUUUAGGCCCAUUUUGCUUCCACCCUAUCCCACUUUGUGAUGCACUAAAACUUUGGCACACUUCACCCCCUGCUCCCCAGUUGUGACAGCAUUCAUUUCAGUAUCUUAAGGUUAAAUUUUAUAGUUUCAAUUUUUCGUUCCAGACUGGGAUUUUUAAAAGCUGUUGAACCCAAAGUUCUUUCAGUAUGGAAUAUACUUGAUUGUAGGAGAAUAUAUAUAUAUAAAAAAAAUGAGAUUUAACAUUAAAUGAAUGAUUUGUACUAAGAUUUUGUGGGAUAGCGUAGUCUGUAUACAGUUGUGAAAAAACUCUUUUUUUUUUCUUUUUCUUUUAGGUCCACACCCUUGGCAUAUGGACGUUCCCAGGCUAGGGGUGGAAUCAGAGCUACAGCUGCUGGCCUACACCACAGCCACAGCAACGUGGGAUCUGAGUUGAGUCUGUGACCCACACCAAAGCUCACGGCAACGCCGGAUCCUUAACCCACGGAGCAAGAGAAGGGAUCGAACCCGCAACCUCAUGGAUGGAUACUGGUUGGGUUUGUUUCCAUUGAGCCACAAAGGGAACUCCAAAAAACUCAUUUUUAAUACAAUUAAGUAAAUAAAUCUGUGUAAAAAAUUUCUUUCAUAACAGCCUUAUUGAGAUGAUUCAUAUGCCAUACAGUUCACCUAUGUAAAGUAUACAAUUCAGGAGUUCCCAUUGUGGGUUCGUGGGUUACAAACUUGAUUAGUAUCCAUGAGGAUGUGGGUUCUAUCCCUGUCCUUGCUCAGUGGGGUAAGGGCCUGGCAUUGCCGUGAGCUGUAGCAUAGGUUGCAGAUGCGGACUCGGAUCCUGCAUGGCUGUGGCUGUGGUGUAGGCUGGCAGCUGUAGCUCUGG